rnacentral:rRNA from 1 species
UACGAAGGGGGCUAGCGUUGUUCGGAAUUACUGGGCGUAAAGCGCACGUAGGCGGGUUGUUAAGUCAGGGGUGAAAUCCCGGAGCUCAACUCCGGAACUGCCUUUGAUACUGGGGAUCUUGAGUCCGGAAGAGGUGAGUGGAACUCCGAGUGUAGAGGUGAAAUUCGUAGAUAUUCGGAAGAACACCAGUGGCGAAGGCGGCUCACUGGUCCGGUACUGACGCUGAGGUGCGAAAGCGUGGGGAGCAAACAGG